UGGCAGAGGCGAUUGGUCGCUCCGGCAAUUUAUUGUCGGGGAGGAAAGUCCAGACUCCGCAGGGCAGGGUGUCCCGAUGUUCGGGAAAUCUUUCAUGAAAAUGAAAGAUAUGGAAAGUGCCACAGAAAAUAUACCGCCCCGAUUCUCGGGGUAAGGGUGAAAUGGCGGUGUAAGAGACCACCGGGUUGACAGAAAUGAAAACCGCAUGGUAAACCCCGCCCGGAGCAAGAUCAAAUAGGAGACUGCUUGAGGUGGCCCGCUUCAAUCGUGAUCGAAAGAUCAUGAUGCAGUUUCGGGUAGAUCGCUAAGAUGAAUGACCAAUCCCGUUUUACGGGAAACAGAAUCUGGCUUAUGUCCUCUGUCUAUCG
rnacentral:RNase_P_RNA from 2 species